GACGAACGCUGGCGGCGUGCUUAACACAUGCAAGUCGAACGGAAAGGCCCUGCUUUUGUGGGGUGCUCGAGUGGCGAACGGGUGAGUAACACGUGAGUAACCUGCCCUUGACUUUGGGAUAACUUCAGGAAACUGGGGCUAAUACCGGAUAGGAGCUCCUGCUGCAUGGUGGGGGUUGGAAAGUUUCGGCGGUUGGGGAUGGACUCGCGGCUUAUCAGCUUGUUGGUGGGGUAGUGGCUUACCAAGGCUUUGACGGGUAGCCGGCCUGAGAGGGUGACCGGGAACGGUGGGGGUGACAGGCGGCAGAGCCUCGAGCGGGAGGAAGGAGAGAGGCAUAUCGCAGAGGGGGCGGAAGCCCGGGGCGCAAGCGGGGCGGGCGGGAUGGCGGCCGUGGUGUUGUAAAACGCUUCCGCGUGUGACGAAGCGUGAGUGAGUGUAAUGGGGAACGACGCACGGACUACCUACGUGCCAGCUGCCGCGAUAAUCGACCGAACACGUUUGAAA
rnacentral:rRNA from 1 species